rnacentral:rRNA from 1 species
UACAGAGGGGGCAAGCGUUGUUCGGAAUUACUGGGCGUAAAGGGCGCGUAGGCGGCCUUCUAAGUCGAACGUGAAAUCCCCGGGCUCAACCCGGGAACUGCGUCCGAUACUGGAAGGCUUGAAUCCGGGAGAGGGAUGCGGAAUUCCAGGUGUAGCGGUGAAAUGCGUAGAUAUCAGGAGGAACACUGGUGGCGAAGGCGGAUCUCUGGGCCUUACCUGACGCUGAGGUGCGAAAGCUAGGGGAGCGAACAGG